rnacentral:rRNA from 1 species
GUAGGGUGCGAACGUUGUCCGGAUUAUUGGGCGUAAAGAGCUCGUAGGCGGUGUGUCACGUCGGCCGGUAAAACUUGGGGCUUAACCCUGAGCUUCCGGUCGAUACGGGCAUCACUUGAGUUCGGCAGGGAAGACUGGAAUUCCUGGUGUAGCGGUGAAAUGCGCAGAUAUCAGGAGGAACACCGGUGGVRRAGGCGGGUCUCUGGGCCGAUACUGACGCUGAGGAGCGAAAGACGUGGGGAGCGAACAGGAUUAGAUACCCUGGUAGUCCACGCGUAAANNNNGGGCACUAGGUGUGGGGGCVAUUCCACGGUCUCWGUGUKHGCNNAACGCAKUAAGUGCCCGCC